rnacentral:rRNA from 1 species
GACGAACGCUGGCGGCGUGCUUAACACAUGCAAGUCGAGCGGAAAGGCCCUUUCGGGGGUACUCGAGCGGCGAACGGGUGCGUAACACGUGAGUAAUCUGCCCUGGACUCUGGGCUAGCCACCGGAAACGGUGAUUAAUACAGGAUAUGACGCCUUGCCGCAGGGUGGGGUGUGGAAUGUUUUUUCGGUCCAGGAUGUGCUCGCGGCCUAUCAGCUUGUUGGUGAGGUAAUGGCUCACCAAGGCUUUGACGGGUAGCCGGCCUGAGAGGGUGACCGGUCACACUGGGACUGAGACACGGCCCAGACUCCUACGGGAGGCAGCAGUGGGGAAUAUUGGACAAUGGGCGGAAGCCUGAUCCAGCAACGCCGCGUGAGGGAUGACGGCCUUCGGGUUGGAAACCUCUUUCAGUACCGACGAAGCGAAAGUGACGGUAGGUACAGAAGAAGGACCGGCCAACUACGUGCCAGCAGCCGCGGUAAAAC